rnacentral:tRNA from 1 species
GCGGACAUAGCUCAAUUGGUAGAGCGCCACCUUGCCAUGGUGGAGGUUGCGGGUUCAAGUCCCGCUGUCCGCU